UCAUAUAUGAACAGCUGUUAUUGUUUAUAAUUCCUGUUGCGCGGAUUGGCUUCCCCCAGUAUCACAUGACACGGCUUGCGGCGCGCAGCAGCAGACACAUGAUAACCAUAUCGAAGGUGUUUCUUAUUGUAUCAAGGCCCGAUUGGGUUUAUUACGCACAUACCUACUGUUGCUCCAUGAAUGAUGUAAUGUAAAAAAAGAAACGGAUUGAAGCCAACCCAAAAAAAUCCCAAAGAGAGCCACGCUAUCCCUGAAUCUGAAGCACAGGAAGGGCCAAAGAUAGAAGCAGGAGUGCUGUGCAAGUCUAAUGCAGGUUACAGAGCUGGCAUGUGUUAAAGAUGAAGAGGUCCCUCAACAGGAAUGUGUUCCUAUUAAAGAGGAAUUCAUAGAGCAGGAAUGUGUCCCCAUCGCAGAGGAACUUCCUCAUGAAAAUCAUGUCUGUACACUUGAGGAGAACAACAAGCUGGGAUCCAACCUGUGUGAUGACUCUCCAUCUGAAUGUGAACUGGGAUUUAGAGCUUCUAAAGUAGAUGAAGGAGAACACGACUCCACUCUAUCACCCCAGUGCAAAAACGCUUCUAGAGGCAAACCACAGUGCAAGAAACACAGAGAAACGACACCCCAAGAAGAAAAUAUGAAGACAUUGAGAACUCACUCAGUUACAAUCCCUUCCUUACAAGACAGACACCCACUUACUGUGGAGAGUACAGCGAUGACACAUUCUGUAUGUUUUAACAAUUCUGAAACCCAGGGCAAGUUGAAGACCUUACCUCAUUCUAUUAAAGGUGGGAAGAGUUCCUGUCAAUUAGAUGUUCCUAAAACUCACAAGGGAAAUCCCACAGGAGGGACUCCGUGUUCCUGAGCUGAUUGUGGGAAGAGUUUCAAUCAUAUAUCACUGCUUAAAAGACACCAGCGCAUUCACACAGGAGAGAAACAUUAUCACUGUGCUGUUUGUGGGAAGAGAUUCAGUCAGUUAGGAAACCGCACAAGACACCAUAACAUUCACACAUAUGUGUAAUCCUGUCCCUGCACUUAGUGUGAAGAAGUUAAGUCAGUUGCAGGCUCUUACAGGACUUGAGAACAUUCUCAGAAAUGCAGACACUUGGGGACACCUAAACAACAGGAGUGCAUUCUACUAAAUACAGAAAUAUUAACUGAAAACAAAAUAAUAAACUUGCUUGAUAAAUAGGGUCACCCCUAAUCACAAUCUGUUCAGAUCAAAAACUCACCAAAAUCUGUGUUCAUCAUGUUGUUGAGCAUUCUGAUUGUGUUACAUCACAUUAGUAAUAUAUUAAAUAGAUUGUUAUUAUGA